rnacentral:rRNA from 1 species
UUUUUGUGGUUUCCUUUUUUUUAUUUAUUUUUUAUUUCAUUUUUUUGUAAAAUAUUUUGUUUUGUUUUUUUUUGGAAGGAUUUCAAAAGUUUGGUUGUUGAACUGGAUUAUUACCCAGGUAAUCAAAAUUAUUUAUUUCGGGAGUAUAGUUGUAUUUAUACCGUAAAAAUAUUGGCUGACUUUAAAUUUUUCUUUGGAAUAUGUGUGAUUAGGAGAGCCCUCCUUUUUAGUGAUUUUUUUUGGUACAUGUAUGAUUGUUUAGUUUUUAUUUUGUCUGUAAAGCUAUUUUUUUAUAUAUAUAACAAAUAUAUACUUGGCUUAUAUUUUUAUUUUCAUGUGUUACUAUUAUUAAUUUUUUUUUUUGGAUAUA